UGAAAAUUUUUCAAGGCAAGUUUUCAAGUUACUGAACUUACCCGCCAUUCGAAUUCACAGAGGUUUUCUUCUUCACCUUCCUUCGUCUCUCGCCGUCGCCGCCACUCACCAUCUCCGUCUCGUGAGCUCACCGUCGCAGCUCACAAUCGUCGUCUCGCGCGCUCACCGUCGCUGCUCCCAAUCGUCGCAAGCCUCCUUGGCUCAUCAUCGUAGCUCACAUCGUCGCCUCAUCGCUCACCAUCGUGCACUCACUAGAUAAUCAUUCUCUGAUUCACUCUCUAUCUUCUCUUUCUUGCUCAUUACCUCACUUCUUCUCUCGUUUCAGUGUCGAAGAAGGUGCGUGUGGCUAUGAUGAUGAACAACAAUGGCCAAACGAGACAGAGAUGGUAGCUGAAGUGAGACAGAGAGUUUCUAACAUGGCAGGGGUUACCAAAGAGGAAGUUGGAAUUGUGGCAUCUUCCUAUCGAAUUUGUCCUUUAGGGGCUCAUAUUGAUCACCAGACUGAACUGAAGCAAUGAGGCUUGGUAUCAAUGGACCUUUGAUCACCAAAUCAUAUCUUGAAAUGAUCCUUGAUAAAAAAAAAGGUGUUUCUCAUCAUAAGAAGGCGCGUGGUUGUUUUUGAUAAAUUCCUACAAAGCAUGUGCAUGCUUACACAAGGAUUAACAGCUUCAAUUUUUCAAAAAAAAAUUUACUAAUAUGAGAUUAUCUUCUUGCUUCAGAAUUGUCUGAAUUGGUUAGAUGUGAAACUCUAUCUCAUGUAUCAAUAAAUGCCUUCCUCGAUGCUGAUUGGUCACUGAUUGAGAAGACUGAAGACUAGAAGAAAUACAUUUGUGCCUGGAAGUCAAGGCACUGCAAUCAUUGCACCAAAACCAAUUCGCACGACUCCUGACCUUGUUACCGGAUUGGAGGAUUUGUCUCAGCCAUGGACUCGUCCCUCAACUGAUCAAAUGGCUAUUUGCUCGCAAAACCUCUGUUAAAUUGUCUUUUGUAAAGUUCUAGUCCAAACACAGUAGGAGGAGGGGGGGAGGGGGGAGGAGAGUUAGCCAGAAGAGCUUGUUUGUA